rnacentral:rRNA from 1 species
AUUGAACGCUGGCGGCAUGCCUUACACAUGCAAGUCGAACGGCAGCACGGGAGCAAUCCUGGUGGCGAGUGGCGAACGGGUGAGUAAUAUAUCGGAACGUGCCUGGUCGUGGGGAUAACGUAGCGAAAGCUACGCUAAUACCGCAUACGAUCUACGGAUGAAAGCGGGGGAUCGCAAGACCUCGCGCGAUUGGAGCGGCCGAUAUCAGAUUAGGUAGUUGGUGAGGUAAAGGCUCACCAAGCCGACGAUCUGUAGCUGGUCUGAGAGGACGACCAGCCACACUGGGACUGAGACACGGCCCAGACUCCUACGGGAGGCAGCAGUGGGGAAUUUUGGACAAUGGGCGAAAGCCUGAUCCAGCAAUGCCGCGUGAGUGAUGAAGGCCUUAGGGUGUAAAGCUCUUUUACCCGAGAUGAUAAUGACAGUAUCGGGAGAAUAAGACUCCGGCUAACUCCGUGCCAGCAGCCG